rnacentral:lncRNA from 1 species
AUGUCACAAGCUUGUGCUUCAGGAAGGCAGGUUCCAGGCUGUUCAAAAGUAAGAAGACCCUUCUGAUGCCCAAGACAAACUCUUAACCCAUAAAAUCAAACAGCAAAUGACAUAAUCCCAACAUGCAACCUCGCACAGUAAAUCUUCCCUUUGGGAGGAACAGGAGGAUAGCAAGGAAAAAACCACACCAAAGCAAGACCAAACCCUAGCAGGACAGAGACAAAAGCCUGUACAUAACUCCAUGCCUAAUGUUCAAGGCUUGUGGAGGCAUUAUCUGGGCUCCAGAGAACUUGGAUGGCACUGUCUCUGUGACUCCACUGUGGCAAUGGUGAUUUUUCUUUUGGAUUUGCUGUGUUUGGUGCCUGGAGCUCUCCCUACUAGAUAUACUACACUGGUGGCAUAUCUACUCUCCUGGAUUCUCAUUGCAGCUUAGGCUUCACCCCCACAACUGUACAUUUUGGUCUCUUCUAUGGAUUUAUCAACAUCACACAUUUCCUGGUCUCACAACAUCUUCGGAACCUUGGUGUGGAUGAUGCUUCAAAAAGGAGACGUUUAAAAAGACAAAGAGAAGAGGAGCCUUGCACUGCUUAAUGAAAUGCAUUGCACACACGGGCUUGACUACUAGUGAAUGGAGAGACAGCGUGGGACACAACACCUCUUCCUUAACAUGGAACUAUCCUAGCUACACAGCUGCACAUGGUGACAUAGUCUCCUGUGCGAUGGAAUCAAGGCCAACGUAAAUCUCCUGCUCAGUGAUUGACCCUAUG